rnacentral:lncRNA from 1 species
UGGGCCGGGUCUUUUAACAUUGUUUGGGCCAUUAUAUUUUGGAGCUGGUCCCACUUGUCAUCUUCUCACACACUGGGCCCACUCGACAGAAAAUUCAAAACUGCUUAGAUUAUUUUCAUAAGUGAAUCCCACAAGUUAGGUUUCCAUUCCACACGUUUUCAAAUCACGUACAUAAUCAAUAUUUCAAACAGAACAAUACAAAUGUAGUUCAUCAAAUAAAACUAACUAAGUCUACUACAAUCUGUACAUAGUUAUUACAACCCAGAUAUGCCUACUAUUACAAUAUUACAAUAUUUACAUUCUAUUACAAUCAAAUAGAAGAGACGACUCUUUGCUGAGUAGAGCUAUAUGGUUUCGAACUUCAUUUUGUAGACCUGGAGCUCCUGAACACAAAGACAAACAUCAUUAGAGAUUAGAGUGUACACAUGCUAGGUCUAGCAUUGGUUAAAAAUAACUAAUAAUCACAUGACGAAUCUGAAUGCAGCAUAUAAAAAGAACCUACCAGGGAGGCCUUGAUAUAAACAGGGGUACGUGUAAAUAUAUGUGUUCACAGGCUUGAAUACAUCGCCAGGAACUAUAAGUACAAAACAUGUAACAUGGUGGCUACAUAAACAGAACGAGAUGUGGCAUGCUUAAAAGUCCGAGCCCAUGCGAUGCCUAUAUAUAAUCAGGUGCAGCUUAAAUAUACGUGGGCACAUAUUGAAAGGAACAAGAUAGCAUGAUGAUAUCCGAUCAACUAGAUUUGGGAGAAACCUGAUCGAGCCAACACAAAAAAGAAAUAGAGCAAGAUUUGAGCUGUACCUGCAGUGUGUUACUUAUGGUGGAACUGGAAGGAGACUUGCUCGGAUUUAGUUAACACGAAUUGUAAGUGUAAAGCAGAUCAUCUUGGCUAUUACACACGA